CUUGUGUGAUCAAGAGUGACGGGCGAUAUGUGCAUGGGUAAUUGCUUAUUAUGUUAGAGAUUUUGAUUCUUGACAUAUUUACAGAUCCUUCUUGGAUUAAUUUAUAAAAUUUCUUCUGAUUUUUAGUGACCCUCCCGUACCCACUAUGUAGACUUUGCCUCGAUCUGCUUUUUAGAACUUUUUCAUUCUAUUCUUUUUCUGGUGUCUAGAGUUUGACGAUGGUAUGAAGGUUAAAACUAAUGGUUGAUUUAAUCGUGGGUUGUCGGUUCUAGGGUAGGUCCCUCUGAUUAGGUUUCCCACCGCCAUUCGGGCUGGAUUUUGCUUCUUUAGCUAAUCUCUAUUUUAUUGUAAAG
rnacentral:rRNA from 1 species